GCGUCAUUUUCCCAAGAGGUUGUCAUCUCUGCUUAGCUCCUAGGUCGGCAUUGCCUCUGUCAUACAGUUCCGCAGAGGAGGUGUGUCCAGAUGAGUCCAGCCAGCACUGGUGUUUCGCUGUUGGUUUUAUGGAACUGCGCCCGUGUGACUGUGACUGACUGAUGAGGGCCUUCAGGUGUGGACCCCGGAGGGAUGCUGGGAUCCAGAAGAGUCUCCCCUUUUUCUGUUGCUCCUUUUUUGUUUUUUUGCGAGACAGCUUUCCCUGUGUAGCCCUGGCUGUCCUGGAACUUGCUUCGUAGACCAGGCUGGCCUCACACUCAAGAGAUCCGCCUGCCUCUGCUUCCCUAAUGCUGCCACUGAAAAUGUGCGUUGCCUGCCUGGCACAGCUGCUCAGUUUCACGGAGGGGCAGUCAUGCACAAGCUAACAGGUGCCAUGAAGGUUGAGGUGGCUUGAACCAGAAGCAAGCCUAGUCUUUUUUUUUUUUUUUUUUAAGAUUUAUUUAUUAUAUGUAAGGACACUGUAGCUGUCUUCAGACACUCCAGAAGAGGGCAUCAGAUUUCAUUACGGAUGGUUGUGAGCCACCAUGUGGUUGCUGGGAUUUGAACUCAGGACCUUUGGAAGGGUAGUCGGUGCUCUUAACCGCUAAGCCAUCUCUCCAGCCCGCAAGCCUAUUCUUAAGAAGGUGGUGGAGCUUCACCAGAGAGUCAGUGACUCUUCUGAGUGUGAUCCGAUUUGCUGCGGGAAGAUGGCAGGCAGGGAGCCCGUGUGGAUCCUGUUUGAGGAGCAGCAAGCAAAAGCCAAAAGAAAAGAGGGUGUUUAGGGGGAGUAUUGACCAGCAGGUGAUGAACAAGGCAGUUGCUUUCUGAGCUAGGAAGUGGGGGCCUCUGUCCUCCGCAGCAUCCUGUUGCAGUGGGACAGGACACACAGCGCAGCCAGCUACAGAAGAAUCAGCGAGGCCCCGGGCUGCAGGAAAGGGCUGAAGUGUGCCAUAGAAGGGUCCUUCUUUGGAUGACGAUAUUUGUCGAAGUACAGACGAGGCCAGGCAGCAAGGAGUUCUGGGUUCGGGGUGCACAGGAUAGGCCAGAUGUUGAAAGAAGGUCUUUUUCAGAAUAGUUUGCAUAUGUAGCUGCUGGUAAUUGAAAAUGUGGGUCAUGUCGGCGAGUGUCCAGAAAAUGGAGUUCCCAUCCCUGGGAAACCUUGUGAUGAAAAGCAAGCAAA